rnacentral:rRNA from 1 species
AUUGAACGCUGGCGGCAGGCCUAACACAUGCAAGUCGAGCGGAUGAAGGGAGCUUGCUCCUGGAUUCAGCGGCGGACGGGUGAGUAAUGCCUAGGAAUCUGCCUGGUAGUGGGGGAUAACGUCCGGAAACGGGCGCUAAUACCGCAUACGUCCUGAGGGAGAAAGUGGGGGAUCUUCGGACCUCACGCUAUCAGAUGAGCCUAGGUCGGAUUAGCUAGUUGGUGGGGUAAAGGCCUACCAAGGCGACGAUCCGUAACUGGUCUGAGAGGAUGAUCAGUCACACUGGAACUGAGCCACGGUCCAGACUCCUACGGGAGGCCGCAGUGGGGAAUAUUGGACAAUGGGCGAAAGCCUGAUCCAGCCAUGCCGCGUGUGUGAAGAAGGUCUUCGGAUUGUAAAGCACUUUAAGUUGGGAGGAAGGGCAGUAAGUUAAUACCUUGCUGUUUUGACGUUACCAACAGAAUAAGCACCGGCUAACUUCGUG